GAAGAAAAAAUAAACAUGAUUCUUUUAGUAAUGGCGAAUGAACAAAGACAUGGUCAUUUUGAAAAUUGUGGUCUUAGAUCAUGAAUUGUAUUUUCAAAAUGCAUUGCUAACACAACUGCACAUGUUUGUUUAUUGGAAAGAACAUCACAAAGGGUGACAAUCCCAUGUGUCAUGUGCAUGUUUUGUGUACAGCGUGCAUUAUAUGAAUCACAUUCAUUGACAAUUGAAUGCAAAUAGAAUGGUAAAUUUCAUUUAAUCAUAAAUAUGUUGUUGACAACUUAUAGCAAACAAAUACCAUGAGGGAAAUGUGAAAAGGAUUUUGAAAAGAAAAUUAAAAGAGCUUGCAAUUGCUGAACUGAUAAGCAAACAAAACAUACGUGUGUAUGCAAGAUUGUUGUAAUGCUUAGCAUCUUUUGCAUGGCUAUUGCAAUGAUUUUUUGUAUAGUGAUGCUACCUUUUUUUAGAAUUUGGAAUGUCUUUUUUUGAGUGUGAAUGGAAUUUUGUUUGUUAGCAAAGGAAUGCACUUUUAGAUUCAUUGUUUGAUUUGAUUUAAAAAUGUUUGUGACACAUGUCUUUGAUUUAGUUUCAUGAUUGAACCAAGGACAUUGUGUUUGAUCCAUGUCAGCAAUACAUGUUUUGUUUGACCCGUCUUGAAACACGGACCAAGGAGUUUAAUUUAUGUGCAAGAUCAUGAAACUGACAUUUGUAUAUCAAUGAAAAUAUUUUGUUGGGAUUUGUGCACCAACAACUGAUAAGUUGUGUGACGCGACGUUGAGUUUGAGCAUGUUGAUUAAAACCCGAAAGAUGGUGAACUAUGCCUGAACAGAAUGAAGUCAGAGGAAACUCUGAUGGAAGUUCGUAUC
rnacentral:rRNA from 1 species